AUUUGCUUAAUGCUCUAACCGUGGCAAGCUUGGCUGGAAGGCAGGCUACACAUAGCAGGGAAGAGGGUAGACUCCAUGAGGAGAUGGGGCAGGAUCCAGGGUGUGGUAGCCGACUUAGAGCACACUUCCCUUGAAAAUAUGGGACAAAUAUUUAAUAACGAACAUUGGUCGGAGCCACAAGUGAGUAAAGAGCUAGAUGUUUCCAGGCGGUCGCGGGUCUCAGCGUUUGGGUAAUGGCAGCCCUCUGCUUCCAGAGCGUCUGUCCAAUUCGCAGCACAACUUCACAGGGCAGAGGGAUCAAAGUCCGAGAGUUGACAAGCCAGUAAAACUUAAGAAAGGCACCCGCGUCUCAGCCAACUGGGCUGGGAUCCACCACUAGGAUUUAGUUCUUGCAAGAGAGUCAGACUCCAACUCCGGGACAGAAGCAGAGAUGCUCUCUAUAAAGCCGUGGAGGGGAAAAACAGGCUCAGCCCUUGGAAACAUGAGCCUGGCUUCAACUCGACUCUUGGUCGCCGCCGUAUACCUGACUUGGUGAAGAAGAAAGGAAAGCAAACAUCUCCCAGCAGAAUGAUCGAGCGCAAAGCGUUCAAAACUUGCAAUUCUGACAGACAGUCCUCGAGGGAAGGUGGGGUUCAUGGUUUUUGAGGGGUUUUUGCCCAUCGUGAUAUGGGAAGGACAGAAGAGAAGUUCAGGUCAGGGUGGUCAAAGCUGCUGAUACUGCCACAGACCAGUGUGCAGAGUGGUCAGGACCCUGAGCUGGGGGAAUGGUCAAAGGCACACUCCUAGAGACCAACUUGUGCUCGCUGAUCCCUGCCUCUUGAAAGUUCCACAGCCUCUCAGAAUAGUGCCCCCUGCUGGGAAGGAAGAAUUCAAGACGUGAACCUGGCGGGUGGGGCUUGGGGGGUGGAUUUCAGAUUGAAACUAGAACAGAAGGCCCAGAAAAGGGAGGUCGGUGAGAGUCUGUAUUCUUAAUUCAGGACGGCUUACAAAUAUGACUAGUUAAUUUAUAAGAUGUAAACUAAUACUUAAAAAAAAAAGAAUUUAGCAAACCAGACAGGGAAUUUCAGGACGGCAGUGACCUUUGUGCUUGCUGAGGCAUCGUAGGCGACAGUCUGCUGGAGUCCGGGAAGCCAUCUGCAGCUAGAGGGACCCUGCAGCUAGGGGGACAAUGAGCUGUCUGUCUCCUCCUCUACCUCCAGCUCUCCCUUGAGGGUUUGCGUUGGCAGAAUCUAAGCAGGAAUUUCUGGGAAAUUUAGUUUCCAGAUGUUACAGCCCCUGUGAGUCAGGACACAGAAGGGGAAAGAGCUACCAUGGCCACGGGGCCCAAGUGAAAGACAUCAAUUAUUUUAGGGUGAUGUCAGAGAAAGUGGGUCGCAGUGGAAAUGGAGCUCGGCGAGGCCGAGUCUGGGUGGAAGGACUGUGGGGAAGCAACACCCCUGCAGACAGGAACUGUGAGACACGCUAGGCAGAGUGACAAGGAGGUUGAAAUGCCACAACCUUCGAGAGUGACAGAUGCUCUUUGUUUUAAAGAGCUCAGUAGCGUGUAUAUAGAAAAUAAAGGCACCGUGGAUGGGACAAGGGGACUGUAAGAACCUGUCCCCCACUCUUGCUGAUAGUUUGAAAGCAUUCUGUGAAAUAAAUAUUCUUCUUCCAGACUAGGCAAAAAUGAAAACGGUUAGCAUUUGGACCUCGGUGUUGGAACUGGAGGUUAGAAGGUAGAAAUGUGGGAGGGAGUUAGACCAGAAGUUGACGGAACUUGGCAAGGUGAGUAGCAGGAGGAAGGCAGGAGCAACCAGGACUCCACAGUCUGUGGGGUGCGUAGCAUUGUGAACGGGCACCAUGAAUUGAGACAUGGCCAUAAAAAAAGUCGGAGCAGUUCCCUUUGGGAUGUGUUCUGUGUUAGGAUGUGAAACUACAGACAUCAAUAAUCAAGACAGAGGUGGUGGUGUGUCGUGUCCCCCCCACCCGCUUCCUGCUGAACAUACAUGACACCUUUGCAUACAAAGGGAAGUAUAACUCUCUACGUGUGAGUUUGGCCACAGUCACAGAAAAGAACUGAUUGAUAUCUAUCAAAGAUAUUUCCCCAUCUUAUUCCCCGAUGGAGCUUGAUGCUUGAAAUCCAACACGUGGUACUUCAAACUCCUGGCUUUAAGUUAAGGCACCUUAAAGGUUUGUGCUGCCCAUCUACCUGUGGUGUGGCGUGCUGAGACUUGCUUUGUCACACGUACCCUGAAAACAAUCAGUGCAUAUACACACACUAGUGCUGCUAUAUGGCCAGAGCUCGCAGCAUGGCCUAUUACAUGAUUUUUCCAGAAAGAUGAUAACAGGCAUCACACCAGACAGGGCAUCAGUGUCAGGUCACAGAAAUUACUCUACUAAAUUCCAGCUUGAGGAACCAAGGAAUCUUUUGGGGUUAUAUACAGCAACGUAGCAAGGGGCUCCUUGAAAGAACCUGAGUGGCUUAAAAGCAGCUGUACCCCCCAAAAUGACCCACCAGAGCUUCGUCCCCGGGACUCCCCACCUAUCUCAAAGGUAACCCCUUAGAGAGUCUCGUCUUGAGCAACAAUUAAUUAUUGCUUAUAUAACCCAGAGUGGGGCCUGUCCUGUUAACUUCUGCUGUCAACCUGACAGCCCAGAGUCAUCUCAGAGAGGCUCCAUUGGGGAAUCAGAUCGAUCAAAUUGUCCUGUGGCCAUGUCUAUGAGGAAGUCUUUUAGUUGUGGAUUAUUGUCAGAGGGCACAGUCCCCUGUGGGUGGUGCCAUUCCUUAGCAGAUGGUUCUGGGCUAUCUAACAAAGCUGGCUGAGCAUGAGGGAGAGAGAGAGAGUAAACCAGCAUGCAGUGUUCCUCCAUGCAACUCUGCUCCAGAUUCCUGCCUCUCGAGAGGUCCUGCACCGGCUUCCCUCCGAGAUGAACUUCUACCUGGGAGUGUCUAUUGGAACAAACACUUCCCUCCCCAAGUUGUUUUUGGUCAUGGUGUUUAACAGAAUGACAUAAAGGAAGCUAGAGGAAGGCAUAUUCCUACUAAGUCUUGUAAGCUUCCUGGGCCUGCUAAAUUUUAUGGGUUUGUGAGUUUUGCUAGCUCCUUGUGUCUUAUGAGCUCCUGUCCUCUCUUAACUCUCCAGGAGGACAUGUUUCAGUUCGGGGGCAAUAGCUACACAGUAGUGCCCAUGAUGAGCCAGAGCUAGAAGAAUCACUGGCCCCUACAUAAAGCCCUGAUUGUCAGAGAGACAGGAGGUCUUCAUGAGUCUGGGGAAACUUGCUGUGACUUACUUUGUCCUCUGUCUUCAUAGGCUCCCUGCCUGCUCUAUCUAUUUUUUCUUCUAUUUCUUUAACAACUUGAUUGUUGAAACCCCAGGAAAUUCUAAGCCCAUUUCUCCCAUCAAAAUGAAAGGAACUUAUUGAUGAAAUCAUGAGUCCAUUAAGAUUGAGUGGUACAUCUCCAUUAGGGCCACGAUUUGCAUCAUAAAACAGAUUAACAUGAAAGGUGGAAGCACUCUUCUUGGAGAGGAAAUGCACAAAAGAAUCUUUUAGGGCCUUCCGAAUUAAAGCAGAAUAAACACUCCACCAGGCACAGAGAGAAGGCAAGGGACAGGGGGGAAGGUUUCGACAGAGCCAAGCAAGACUGAAGACCUGCAGCCACAUAAGUGGUGUGACUCAUAGCUUAGUUGUGGGUAGACAGCAGAAGCCAGGGAACAUUCGGAGCUGAAAGAAACACUCGUAUUAAACAUUCUGCUGGAGCAAGGGUUCCCACUGCAGUGUGCUUACAGAGCCCUGCUCUGAAGUAUGCCUGGGCCGGCCGUUCUCGCUACUUUAAUGGAGUUGCUGAGAACCACCCUCUUGCCCGGCUAAGAGCCUGUGGUUCUGAGUGGAUGAGAGUGCUGUUCUCCUCAACCUUCCUCAGAAUGUUGAGAGGACAGUUCUGUGACAAGAGCUUUGCCAUGUGGCCUCCCCAGGAAUCUAGAUUGUUCCGGAUGAUCAAAGGAUAAUGAAAUAAACCCUACAUUAAUAGAGCACAGGGUUCUGGGAGUGUGUUGGGGGGCGGGGAUGACGUCUUCUCUUGCCUAUCAAGCUGGUGCUGUUUGUGUGUGUAUCACUUGCUUAGCAGCAUCAAGACCUUUAGCUAAAAGGAGAGGCUGGCUUAAAGGAUUGGAGCACCCGGGGGAUUCGCUGUUUGAUGGAAACAGGUCAGAGAAAGGAGCAAGAGAAUGAUCGGCCGUCUUACUCUUCUGGUGGGGUCUCUUUGCUCAUGUGUGAGAGGCAGUUCAUGCCAGCUCACAGACAUCAAGCAGAAUUUCUUCCUAAUUCCCCCACUCAGUGACUUCAUAGGAGGUUGGCACUGGCUAGGAUAGGAAUGUUUACAUUGCCAGAAUUGGCAGAUGUCACAAACCAGGGUGUUUUUUUCUCCCCUACUGUGGUUGCCUUGUUUUCUCCCCUAGAAAAUUUAUCGUUAAAUAUUUAUCAGCAUUCUCCUGGAAUUUGAUUGAAAGAUAAUUUGGCCAUCAAAGCAGCCACACGGCCUUCUGAAACUCUGGCUGAAAGCUUUCUGAGCACAGCAAGGGUCAAACAAGUGACCGGGCGGAGCUCGGCGGAAUUUGGAAAAAGGGAAAGGAUUCUUGGAAUACACGCCUGUGUGACAUACUCACCCAUGAACACUCACCUGAGGGUCAGUGCUCACAGGGUGACAUGGUAGGCACCUCUCGAAAGUUGUAAAGGGACCUUUAGGAAUGUGGCCACGAGAUGGACACUACUUAGACAUGAUGUGGGCCUCUUUCUCAUUGGACCAGGGACUUCAGAUAAAGGAUAAGACCCAGGAGGCUGGGCCUCAGAAGGACCAAUUUACAGGGCAUUUUGAUAGUGAACCAAUUAACCUCUUCUACCUAUAGGGCUCAGACAAAAGAUAGUUGGGCUCAGGAUGCAUUCUGGGAGCACUGCCGCGUGUGGGUGGUAAUGAUGUGUCAGAAGUUCUUUUUCAGAUGGGCUAAGUAGACUCCAGUCCUAUAUGGAAUGUCCGAGGCUGUGUCAGAGAAACACAAAGGUCUCUUCUGCCUCCCUUCCUGGGUUCUAGGAUUCUUCUGAAAAGAACCCUAAUGCUAACUAGAAGGUAGAAGAGUGGAAGCCCAGACACAGAUUAAGGAGUACACAUAGGUUCGGCCACAAUGGAGAUCAGGGAGGGAGGAUCUUCAACAAACUAAGAAAGAACCAGUGUAUGGCCCACUACAGCGUGUCCAGGUUAUUUACCUGAGGGACCGUAAGCCAACCUAUCACCCUGUGAACACUGCUGUGAGUUCACAAUUAUGGCUGAGUUAUGUACGGAAGCAAGAGAAGCGUCCGUCAACAAAUGACAGGGUUAAAUGGAGUGUGUGUGUAUAACGAAACUUUAGUCAGCUCUAAGGAAGAGCAGAAUCAUGCUGUUUGUUGAAGAACGGGUGUGACAGAAACUAACUAUAUGAAAUAAGUCAGCAAGAUAAGUGUCACACAUUUUUAGUCCUUUUGCACAUCCUUGGGUACACACACACACACAACACACCCUCACACACACUAAGGAAAAAAAAACUGGCUUCGAAGGACAAAAGGAGGCUACGAAAGGAAACAUAUUUGUUCGACUUUGAGGAAGAAGCCGAUUUGUCUGAAGGAGUCUGGGGACAGCCCUGCCUUUGUCUGAUAAGCCCUCUCUGCAAGUCCCUGUAAGCCAUAUGUGUUUAAGAUGUAGAGGAUCAGCUCAGGGGAUCAGCGCACAGCCCUGGAAGCGUUAGCAUGCGCUUCCUACUUUAAGCAGCUGUCUGGCAAAAUGGUCUGUCACUGUCAUAGGGCAGCCGAGCAUGAGAGUGCUUUGACAGUGCGAGUCUGUCUCAAUCCUUCCACCCAAACUCAAAGGAACGUCUUCCCAAAGGCCGAGGGCAGCCAUUCUUUGCAGCGGGAGUAAGCUCGGCUGAUGGCUUAAUCUGGAAGCCAAUUGGCUUUCAAGGAGACAUAACUCACUCCAUAUUUAGAGAAACGUUUGGAGUCUAUUGGGACUGCUUCGGGAGGGGAUUUGAAAACUUUGAAAAGGAACCUGAUAUGAACACUGACCGACUGGAAGACCUUCUGUCUUUCACAAGUGGGCACGUACCUGGCAGCCCUUGCUGGCUUGGCUUCAACUCCUAGAUCCCGGAUCAUGGAAGCCCUGGAGGGUCUGGCAGUUGGUUCCGGAGUCAACAAGAAGCAGGCAGCCACCACCAACCUAGAAGUAUUAUCAUGGUUUAACAGCAAUCCAAGCAAUGUCUCUGCUCCUGAAAUGGAACCUGGGCCUUGUUGGACGACGUGGGACAAAGGAGAGAGGCAGGUCCACUGUGGGGUCUGUCUGUGUUUAUAUGGUUGGCAGAGCGCGCUUUGAUGUCACCCUGAUGACGUCUGUCAUCUUCCCCACACCUGCUAUGGCAUGGCUGCCUUCAGUCACAAGCCUGAUUCACAGCACACUCUAUGUUUAGCAGCGCUCUGAGAAGGAUUCCAGUCUGCCUUCAGCCCUAAAUAGCUACAAAUAUCAGAGUAGCAGCGGCAGCCCUUCAAAGGCCUUUUUGGGAAGUGUCAUGCCAGAGAUGGGGUGACACAGAGGAGCCCCAGAAAGAAGCAAGAUGUCACCUGGAAACUGGAGGGAAAAAGAAGAAAUGAACCAGCGUCGACUGCUAAGAAGGUGAAGAAAUGAACCAGCGUCGACUGCUAAGAAGGUGAAGAAAUGAACCAGCGUCGACUGCUAAGAAGGUGAUAAAGUUGACCAUCUGUUCCUCAGUUACUUAUAGCACGGUCAUCGUCUGGAAAGUUGGAGACAAUGACUAGAAGACAAUGAAGGGACGAAAUACAAGGUGUCUGGUGCAGACUGAUAUGGCCAGGCACGUAAUUAAUGCCUCUUUAAAAGUGAACAAAAGCAGAGCAAGAAGUAAAAAACAAAGCGAUUACGCAUCAGCUGCUGAAACACUGUGUCCUAGCUUAAACGAGGCUGGAAAAAUGCUUCCACAGAGAACAGGAUGCUUGAGGACUCUAGCCUUUUCCCGGAGGGGCUGUAAUGGCUCCAGCCUCGCAGACGGGCUGCGCAGCGGCGCCAGCGAGCUCUGCUGCCCCCUGCUGGACGGAACGCGGGACUCGCGCCAGCCAGUCUGCGAGGCUCCCGCUGGCUCCCUGGGGACCCAGCACUCCUCCAGCAGGUUAUGCAACACCAGCUCACUUCAGGAAAGGAAACCAUCGACUUCAUGGAGCUUCCAAUGAGCCAGUGUUAAGAGUAAGGCGGAGACUAGAAAAUAGCACGCAUGUGUCCAGCCUUGGAGGCGCGUGUGUAAGGGGAGUGGACUAACUGAAAGGAAGCAGUGUAAAGAUUAGCCGCAGGGUAUGGUCUUCUAGUGACGCCGCACCUCAUGACCAGCUACUGACAUGGUGGGCGGCAGUGCUUCAUUUCCGGAGUGCAGCCCCAUCUUCUAGCUCCUUCAAGGUUAUAGAUCUUCUAGCUGUGUGACCUUCAAGGUUUUAAACUCUGACUGUUGGUGAACCAUAUCCAGUGGGUUGGUCUUUCCUAACAAGACACACAGUGAAGGCUUUAUAGAGAGGCAUAUUAAGGUGGAGCAGGGCUAUUCCCUCCUUUUACUGUUCAGAAAUAAUAAACAUUUUGAUAUUUCCAGUAUUCGUCCGGAUCACCAUAUCUUUAGAGGAAUUUUUCUUCUAUUUGGACCGACCCUUUGGAGUUUUACCUUUUGGGGUUUUACUGAUGUGAAGGAGGGGUCGUGGUGGUGGUGGCCGUUCACUCUUGUCCAAUCUGGAUGUGGAUUAAUGGUGUUUUCCAGCCCAUAAAAUAUUUUAAAAUUUUUAUUUCACACGGGGUUAUGAAGCAUCGCUGCCUUUACGACAGCUCGACUGGAACUUUCAAAAUUAAAAAUGACAGGAACUGAAAGUUGUCAUAGAGAUUCCAAGGCACUACCAUUCUCUUAUUCUGUAGACGAUGUUCUGCGCUUUUCAACCAAGUAAGAAUAGAUCUCUGGAGAUGAGAAGAUGACCACCACGUGUCUUUUCCCAGUCUUUGGAUGGUACCUUUCACAUCCUGGAAGGGAGAAAGCUGAGUCACCACCACAGAGUCUGAACCUGAUUAUCAUAUUCAGUAGCCACUGCCAAGCAUACAUUAGCACCUCUCCCAGAACUACUCUCUGUCUGCACAGGGCACCUGGACACUCUGCUCAUGAGAAUGCAAUACCCAACAUGAGUCAAGAAAGCCCAAAGACGUCCACCCUGAUCUGGUGAUAGAUGACACCUGACCUCCUUAGCCAAUAUGCAGACUGAGACUGUAUCUGGCAGAGUUUCUGGCUGCAGAACCCUUGACCGUCAGAAGUGAAUGAAAGUUUGCUUUAGAGUGGGGCCAGGCUGCUAACUGCGCCAACGCUGCAUUUGGAGGGCUGUGACUUGCAGCCUGACCUCCUGGAACUGAGUGGAGCAGCAAUCAACAAUGACUUUGUAAGCUGAUCCCUGCUACAGACCGUACAAAAUCCUCAACGGGGAGAGCUGCUUACCUACAGAGGUCACAGGAGCUCUGUGCUCACCACCCCUAAUGCCCGUGUUCCUUGAAGUUGGCUGUUCCUGAGUUGUAUCUUUUGAAGUGAACUGACAUUGAUUCCUUUGGAAACUUGGAUGGCAUCGUUUAAUCUGUGGAGUGGGAAAAAGGAGACGAAGGAAGGAAGAGGAGAGGAGACCAUAAACCUCGCUGAGAGCUCACUGGAUCCGGGAAGUUGCUAAUAAAAACCCAGGCGGGGAUGGCACCUGCAGACAACUCACUCUACCUAGCCGUCAGAGCUGGCCUGGAAGAACAAAGGCUUUCUGGGGAGCUGCAAAUCACACAUUGAUCUUGCCCGAGAGUAUCUUUCCUUAGCGAUGAGAAGCUGGAAUAAAACGAAGUGGAAUGAAAAGCGGCAAGCAGAGGCCCUGAAGACUCCCACAGAAAUCCUGGUUCUGCAGAUUUACCUGUGCCGUGGGACCCACCUGUGUGGGACGAGGCACUUCUUGUUGAGCGUUCUGCUGCUCCAGAGUGCUUCAGCAUUACGUGUGGAAAGCAGAGACUUGAGGAAAAAUCAGUCAAACGAGAGCAUUGCAUAACUCGGACCACUGGAAAAUCCAUUCCCCCUUUAGGCAUCCCAAUGAGGGCAGUAACAACUAAGCAUGUUCCGGCUGUCGUGCUUACUCUAAUGCUGGCACUGGGGAGGAGAGGAGGCAAGUGCAUCCUAGGAGUUUGCUAGCAAGUGAGCCAGCUUCACCCCCUCACGCCACUCCCGGUUGCUAGAAUAGGAGGGCCUCUCCCAGAAUACUCCACACAACAGAUGGUUGAUCUACACCAGGAAACACCCAAAGAAGAAGACCAAGGCCACCACAGGCGGCAACUUGCCUACUCACCAGGGUCCAAGGAAGACCUCCAUCCCAUGGUGGGUAGAGUCCACAUGUGGGUCUCUGGGCUCUCUUCUCUGGUCUUCCUGUCCUCGUUGCUUUACUAAGGGAGACCUGUGAGCAACAGUGUUUUAACGCACGUUAUAGACGACACCGGAGUGUGGCUCUCACCAAAGCGUGUGCCUGACGUGAAGUGUGCCAGACUCCACGAGAAGUGUGUCUGGGCCAACUGACAGCAGUGGCUCUGGCUUUGACACGGCUCUCAGCACUCCCAUUCUGUUCCGAGAGGCCAGGAAGCAGAUGGAGAGAGAAUAAGCAAUGCAGUGGGAUGUCUACAUCUUGGCAGUCAGUUCACGGCGAGCUAUGUUUCUCAAGCUAUUAAGAUACAUGAUGCUACCUGUACAUUUAAUCUCUAAUCAAGUAUGUAAUUUUUUUAUUGCCUAGGGUAUGUCUAUGCAGUUGAAAGCAAAAACCUGUGUUCUAUCUUUAAAGAAAAAAUAAAACAACAACAAUAACAACCACAACACCCCUGUAAAAUCAAGAGAGAGGGAGCAAGAAGUUGGGUGGGUGGUGAGGUGGGGGAGAAUCGGGGAACAAUGGAGGAGGAAAACAAUAUAAUCAAAACAUACUGUAUGGAAAUUAAAUGUCCACCCUGCUCCUUGUGAAGUUUGCUUCCUUCACAGUGAUGUGAAGGGAACAGUGAUAUGCUUCCCCAAGGGGCACGAAGGAGAGGUGCUCUGAGAAAGUGACAUAAACAGGGAAGAUUUUUCUUCUUUGUAGAGAAGGGCGUUAGAGUACAGCAUUGUGAGAUUGCUCAGUGUGUGCACAGAGUACAGCAUUGUGAGGUUACUCAGUGUGUGCACAGAGUACUGCAUCAUCAGAUUACUCAGUGUGUGCACAGAGUACUGCAUUGUGAGAUUACUCAGUGUGUGCACAGAGUACUGCAUUGUGAGAUUACUCAGUGUGUGCACAGAGUACAGCAUUGUGAGAUUACUCAGUGUGUGCACAGAGUACAGCAUUGUGAGAUUACUCAGUGUGAGCACAGAGUACUGCAUUGUGAGAUUACUCAGUGUGAGCACAGAGUACUGCAUCAUCAGAUUACUCAGUGUGAGCACAGAGUACUGCAUCAUCAGAUUACUCAGUGUGUGCACAGAGUACUGCAUUGUGAGAUUACUCAGUGUGUGCACAGAGUACUGCAUUGUGAGAUUACUCAGUGUGUGCACAGAGUACUGCAUCAUCAGAUUACUCAGUGUGUGCACAGAGUACUGCAUCAUCAGAUUACUCAGUGUGAGCACAGAGUACUGCACUGUGAGAUUACUCAGUGUGUGCACAGAGUACUGCAUUGUGAGAUUACUCAGUGUGAGCACAGAGUACUGCAUUGUGAGAUUACUCAGUGUGUGCACAGAGUACAGCAUUGUGAGAUUGCUCAGUGUGUGCACAGAGUACUGCACUGUCAGAUUGUUCAGUGUGUGUCAAACCAGCUUUAGCAGCACUGAGAGAGAACUGACUUCAUUAACACUGGAGAUCUUGGAGACAGAUCAAGUACUCCUAUGCAGGGCAACACAAGGCACUGCAUUGAAGGAAGUCUUCCAAGAGCAGAGAAAUUCUCUCCUGGACACUACUUCCACAGAAUUUUCAGAUAGUUCCAUUUAACUUCCAAGUUCGUUGAUCAACUGUCAUGGGGAGAAGGGAUAGACGUCACGGAGCAUUGUGUCAUUAACAUUCGUUGCUGAAGAAGACUGGGAAGCAAUUCUAAAUUUGCAGCAGCCACGAGGUCCAUGGGCAGAGGUGGACAGAAGUGAGGACUGUCCAAAUGGUGGACUGCUUUGAGCAAGUGAAUGAGUCGUUGCAACUCCACAACUGGGUACGAUAAAAACGCUUCCAUAAACAAUGUAAAAUCAACUGGGUAAGGCGUAAUCCCAUUUAUUUACAGUUCAAAAAUAAACAAAGCGAGUCGCUGACAUCUGAAGUGAGAAGAGAUACCCGCCAUGGGCGAGCUUAGUGAAGAUUCAGCUUCAGGCGUUAGGGAUGGUUUCGUCCCUGAUGGGUUGUUGGUUACGAGCACAUGUUUGUUCUCCACGAGCAUACAUUUUAUUUCUGAGUCGUGUAUAUUUUUUUCUUCAUCCUGAAUCAGCAAAACAGUUACAAGCAAGCAAUGUCAACAUAGUUUCUUUUGCAUGUAUUAAAGUUUGGACCGUUCAGUCAAUCGUUUAAAGGACUAGGUAUGUGGGAGGAAGUGGCCCACAAAGGCUGAAGAGUUAAGUAUUUAAAGACUCAGAAUUACUUGAGAUAGUGAAAAAACGUUAGAGAGAAAAAUUUGAGCUUGGCUUCGUAGUCUAAAUUUCUUUGUCAGUAAAAACCUUCAUUUGUGGUAAAAUUUGGGCAGGGGAGUAAUGGUAUUUGAUAAGGGGUGGGGAAGAAUGUGAACUCAAAAUUAUAACCCAUUUUCUUUCUUUUUAACAUUUUCAGGUCAACACCAAACGUUUAGGUUCUGUGUGAUCAAAAUAGAAGGUCUUCACGUAUAUGGACCUGUCCUCCGCUAAGAUGUAAUUAUCAGUUGAUCAGGUUGAAAGACGGCUGAGUAGAUCCGGCACUAACAACAGAAUCAUCACACCAUGGAGAAACAAAUGUUCUAACAAUGUUCAUAACUCUACACGAUCCUUUCCUUUUUCACCACAAUCUAUGCUUCCCCAUCUGGCAGACAAGUAUGGAUCCCUUUCAACAUGGUAGGUAACAUUCCAGAUUGGAUAAUAAAAGUCUCUGUGGGAGAA
rnacentral:sRNA from 1 species